AUCCACCUGACGAGUCCUAAAUAGGACCAAAUGUACGUUAUCGUGGAU
rnacentral:hammerhead_ribozyme from 1 species